rnacentral:snoRNA from 1 species
CAUUAUGAUGAAUAAGAGCAUUGCUCGAAAUAACCCAGCUCGUCGAAUGCCUCAUUUUUUAAAACUCACGUAGAGGUCAUCAUGAGAGCAAAAUUCCUAUCUGAAAUU